rnacentral:rRNA from 1 species
AUUGAACGCUGGCGGCAGGCCUAACACAUGCAAGUCGAACGAGCGGCGGACGGGUGAGUAAUGUAUGGGGACUGCCCGAUAAAGGGGGAUAACUACUGGAAACGGUGGCUAAUACCGCAUACUAUCGGAUAACCCAUAUGGGAUUGGCUACUAGUUGGGGGAAAGGCUCACCUAGGCGACUAUCUAUAGCUGGUCUGAGAGGCUGAUCAGCCACACUGGGACUGGGACACGGCCCAGACUCCUACGGAGGCAGCAGUGGGGAAUAUUGCACAAUGGGCGCAAGCCUGAUGCAGCCAUUCCGCGUGUAUGAAGAAGGCCUUAGGGUUGGAAAGUACUUGCAGCGGGGAGGCGUUACCCGCAGAAGAAGCACCGGCUAACUCCGUGCCAGCAGCCGCGGUAACUC